AAUCAACGCUGGCGGCGUGCCUAACACAUGCAAGUCGAACGAGAAAGCGGGGGCAACUCCGCGAGUAAAGUGGCGACCGGGUGAGUAACACGUGACUAACCUGCCCUCGAGUGGGGAAUAACCCCGGGAAACCGGGGCUGAUACCGCAUAAUGUCCUCGAUACGAAGUGUUGAGGAUCAAAGGAGCAAUUCGCGUGAGGAGGGGGGCGCGGCCGAUUAGCUAGUUGUCGGGGUAACGGCCCACCAAGGCUCGGAUCGGUAGCCGGCCAGAGGGGGCGCACGGCCACACUGGAACUGAAACACGGUCCAGACUCCUACGGGAUGCAGCAGUGGUGAAUUUUGCGAAAUGGGGGAAAGCCUGACGCAGCAACGCCGCGUGGAGGAUGAAGUCCCUUGGGACGUAAACUCCUAUCGACCGGGAAGAUAAUGACGGGACCGGAAGAAGAAGCACCGGCUAACUCUGUGCCAGCAGCCGCCGUAACAC
rnacentral:rRNA from 1 species